UACAGAGGUCCCAAGCGUUGUUCGGAUUCACUGGGCGUAAAGGGCGCGUAGGCGGCCAACUAAGUCAGACGUGAAAUCCCUCGGCUCAACCGGGGAACUGCGUCUGAUACUGGAUGGCUUGAAUUCGGGAGAGGGAUGCGGAAUUCCAGGUGUAGCGGUGAAAUGCGUAGAUAUCUGGAGGAACACCGGUGGCGAAGGCGGCAUCCUGGACCGAGAUUGACGCUGAUGCGCGAAAGCCAGGGGAGCAAACGGG
rnacentral:rRNA from 1 species